UGGAGGCUUAGAUGAGGAAGAUCUGAGGACGGAAGAGGACUCCAAGUUCAGUCUGAGUUUUGUCAGUGGAACGUGGCCCCUUGAGACCCGCGUGCAGUCUGAGGUUCAGCUGACAGAGGUAUAGUAGCCAGACAAGGGGGUCCCACGGUAUUUCCCACUAAUCAGACCCCAUCUGGAGCCAGUUGGUUUUAAGCCUAUAUUAAGACGGACACUGAGCACGCCCAGAGAAGGGCAUUUAGUGAAAUCUCUGCAAUCGACUUGACAUUCAGGAUGUAAAGAGGUGCUAGGGAUGUUUCCUGAGAGGACUGAAGUCUUAGGGGGUAACUGUCUACAGUUACCUGAAGCGCUUAGCCAAGGAGCACCAAAAAGCCAAAAAGCAGAGAUGUGUUCUUCUCGUCCUUCAAGGAGAAAGACCCCAAGACUUCAGAUACUGGGUGUCCCCUCGGUAUGAACAGCAAAGGUCAACAGCAGCUUCUGCCCGGGACUCUCCACUUCAGAAGGGAGAAGACGAGUUGGUUUAAUACAAAACAUUAUCAAAGUUGAGUUGCACUAGAGAGAGGCACAUGAAAUAGAAGAAAGUGCCCAGGAAAGAGGCUUGUGGACCAGCUGGGGAAUGGGAUCACGUGUGCCACCCCUGCCUUUCUGAGAACCUUCUCAUAAUGGCCCAGCGACCCAGCAGACUCUCAUCCCAGCCCGUUUGGAUGAGCCCAUUGGAAGACAAGAGAAUCGGAGGUGAGAAAACAGAUUGGAAAGGUGAAGCAGCCGGUCCAAGGGCACACAGCUGAAAAACUGGAGCUCGAACUGGGCCCCACAGCAGGUGCCUAGUUCUGAAAGCAUCAUUGGAGUCCAUGCCCUGGGGACCAUACUGAAAUGAGAUCUCCCUGGCAAUUACCCUCUCUGGAUGAGGACCAAAGUGGACCCACGACAAAAUGAACUCUGGGAUGGAGCAGAGUAUGUGAAUAAAACCGUGAAAGGCAUGACUGGAGUGAUUCCUUCAUACAACCUGAAGGAGUAGGAAUAGGGAACAAUUACUGCAACUUGAACUUGGAAGAGG